rnacentral:rRNA from 1 species
AUUGAACGCUGGCGGCAGGCCUAACACAUGCAAGUCGAACGAGUGGCGGACGGGUGAGUAAUGUCUGGGAAACUGCCUGAUGGAGGGGGAUAACUACUGGAAACGGUAGCUAAUACCGCAUACCAUCAGAUGUGCCCAGAUGGGAUUAGCUGGUGGGUGGGGUAACGGCUCACCAAGGCGACGCUCCCUAGCUGGGCUGAGAGGAUGACCAGCCACACUGGAACUGAGACACGGUCCAGACUCCUACGGGAGGCAGCAGUGGGGAAGAUUGCACAAUGGGUGCAAGCCUGAUGCAGCCAUGCCGCGUGUAUGAAGAAGGCCUUCGGGUUGUAAAGUACUUUUAGCGGGGAGGCGUUACCCGAAGAAGAAGCACCGGCUAACUCCGUGCCAGCAGCCGCGGUAAUUC